rnacentral:rRNA from 1 species
UGCUAAUCUGCGAUAAGCGUCGGUAAGGUGAUAUGAACCGUUAUAACCGGCGAUUUCCGAAUGGGGAAACCCAGUGUGUUUCGACACACUAUCAUUAACUGAAUCCAUAGGUUAAUGAGGCGAACCGGGGGAACUGAAACAUCUAAGUACCCCGAGGAAAAGAAAUCAACCGAGAUUCCCCCAGUAGCGGCGAGCGAACGGGGAGCAGCCCAGAGCCUGAAUCAGUGUGUGUGUUAGUGGAAGCGUCUGGAAAGGCGCGCGAUACAGGGUGACAGCCCCGUACACAAAAAUGCACAUGCUGUGAGCUCGAUGAGUAGGGCGGGACACGUGGUAUCCUGUCUGAAUAUGGGGGGACCAUCCUCCAAGGCUAAAUACUCCUGACUGACCGAUAGUGAACCAGUACCGUGAGGGAAAGGCGAAAAGAACCCCGGCGAGGGGAGUGAAAAAGAACCUGAAACCGUGUACGUACAAGCAGUGGGAGCACGCUUAGGCGUGUGACUGCGUACCUUUUGUAUAAUGGGUCAGCGACUUAUAUUCUGUAGCAAGGUUAACCGAAUAGGGGAGCCGAAGGGAAACCGAGUCUUAACUGGGCGUUAAGUUGCAGGGUAUAGACCCGAAACCCGGUGAUCUAGCCAUGGGCAGGUUGAAGGUUGGGUAACACUAACUGGAGGACCGAACCGACUAAUGUUGAAAAAUUAGCGGAUGACUUGUGGCUGGGGGUGAAAGGCCAAUCAAACCGGGAGAUAGCUGGUUCUCCCCGAAAGCUAUUUAGGUAGCGCCUCGUGAAUUCAUCUCCGGGGGUAGAGCACUGUUUCGGCAAGGGGGUCAUCCCGACUUACCAACCCGAUGCAAACUGCGAAUACCGGAGAAUGUUAUCACGGGAGACACACGGCGGGUGCUAACGUCCGUCGUGAAGAGGGAAACAACCCAGACCGCCAGCUAAGGUCCCAAAGUCAUGGUUAAGUGGGAAACGAUGUGGGAAGGCCCAGACAGCCAGGAUGUUGGCUUAGAAGCAGCCAUCAUUUAAAGAAAGCGUAAUAGCUCACUGGUCGAGUCGGCCUGCGCGGAAGAUGUAACGGGGCUAAACCAUGCACCGAAGCUGCGGCAGCGACGCUGAUGCGUUGUUGGGUAGGGGAGCGUUCUGUAAGCCUGCGAAGGUGUGCUGUGAGGCAUGCUGGAGGUAUCAGAAGUGCGAAUGCUGACAUAAGUAACGAUAAAGCGGGUGAAAAGCCCGCUCGCCGGAAGACCAAGGGUUCCUGUCCAACGUUAAUCGGGGCAGGGUGAGUCGACCCCUAAGGCGAGGCCGAAAGGCGUAGUCGAUGGGAAACAGGUUAAUAUUCCUGUACUUGGUGUUACUGCGAAGGGGGGACGGAGAAGGCUAUGUUGGCCGGGCGACGGUUGUCCCGGUUUAAGCGUGUAGGCUGGUUUUCCAGGCAAAUCCGGAAAAUCAAGGCUGAGGCGUGAUGACGAGGCACUACGGUGCUGAAGCAACAAAUGCCCUGCUUCCAGGAAAAGCCUCUAAGCAUCAGGUAACAUCAAAUCGUACCCCAAACCGACACAGGUGGUCAGGUAGAGAAUACCAAGGCGCUUGAGAGAACUCGGGUGAAGGAACUAGGCAAAAUGGUGCCGUAACUUCGGGAGAAGGCACGCUGAUAUGUAGGUGAAGUCCCUUGCGGAUGGAGCUGAAAUCAGUCGAAGAUACCAGCUGGCUGCAACUGUUUAUUAAAAACACAGCACUGUGCAAACACGAAAGUGGACGUAUACGGUGUGACGCCUGCCCGGUGCCGGAAGGUUAAUUGAUGGGGUUAGCCGCAAGGCGAAGCUCUUGAUCGAAGCCCCGGUAAACGGCGGCCGUAACUAUAACGGUCCUAAGGUAGCGAAAUUCCUUGUCGGGUAAGUUCCGACCUGCACGAAUGGCGUAAUGAUGGCCAGGCUGUCUCCACCCGAGACUCAGUGAAAUUGAACUCGCUGUGAAGAUGCAGUGUACCCGCGGCAAGACGGAAAGACCCCGUGAACCUUUACUAUAGCUUGACACUGAACAUUGAGCCUUGAUGUGUAGGAUAGGUGGGAGGCUUUGAAGUGUGGACGCCAGUCUGCAUGGAGCCGACCUUGAAAUACCACCCUUUAAUGUUUGAUGUUCUAACGUUGACCCGUAAUCCGGGUUGCGGACAGUGUCUGGUGGGUAGUUUGACUGGGGCGGUCUCCUCCUAAAGAGUAACGGAGGAGCACGAAGGUUGGCUAAUCCUGGUCGGACAUCAGGAGGUUAGUGCAAUGGCAUAAGCCAGCUUGACUGCGAGCGUGACGGCGCGAGCAGGUGCGAAAGCAGGUCAUAGUGAUCCGGUGGUUCUGAAUGGAAGGGCCAUCGCUCAACGGAUAAAAGGUACUCCGGGGAUAACAGGCUGAUACCGCCCAAGAGUUCAUAUCGACGGCGGUGUUUGGCACCUCGAUGUCGGCUCAUCACAUCCUGGGGCUGAAGUAGGUCCCAAGGGUAUGGCUGUUCGCCAUUUAAAGUGGUACGCGAGCUGGGUUUAGAACGUCGUGAGACAGUUCGGUCCCUAUCUGCCGUGGGCGCUGGAGAACUGAGGGGGGCUGCUCCUAGUACGAGAGGACCGGAGUGGACGCAUCACUGGUGUUCGGGUUGUCAUGCCAAUGGCACUGCCCGGUAGCUAAAUGCGGAAGAGAUAAGUGCUGAAAGCAUCUAAGCACGAAACUUGCC